CCAGCACUCACCCGGUGGUGAAAUCUCACUGGGGCCUCCAAAUGUUGUAACCAGGCGAGUUGUAGAGAAACGCCACACUCUGGACUAAUUCAGGACUCCUUUUAUUG
rnacentral:pre_miRNA from 8 species